UUUUAUGGCGGCUCGGGCGGGAGGGCGCGAGCCCUGCCGGUUCUCGCAAGAGGUGUCCGGUCUUCCAACCCGUUCGAGCUGCCGCCCCC
rnacentral:antisense_RNA from 2 species